CCCAAGUCUGAAGUUCUGGAAUGCUCCCAUCUCUGGACCUUGCUUAUCCCAGCUGGAUACACAGGUGGACCCUCUGAGGGAAGCCAGGCCUUCACCCUGCUCAGAACUGACCCCUGGCUGCAUUGUGAGCAUGCAUCCAUGGCAGCUGUCUGUGCUGGCCCCAGGCCCAGUCUGAGGGCCCCUCAGGUUUGUGGCAGGUGAGCUAGGCCCCAGUCAAGAACUAUUCUGCAGCCCCUACAUAUCCAACAAGAUAACGCUCCCAGCAGACCACUGCAGGACGGACUGGCAACUCAGGCCCCACCACCUACCAGAGAAGUUCCUGGUGGCCAGCAUCGUGGUGGUUUUAUAGAUGAGACCAGAGCCACGGCUGAUUCCCACGCCCCACCCGGGAACCACGGGAGACUGCCAUUGCACGACUUCGACAAAUCCAACCCCCAGAGGAAAUGCAAAUGGUAGGCCGGCAUCAC